rnacentral:rRNA from 1 species
AGGACGAACGCUGGCGGCGUGCUUAACACAUGCAAGUCGAGCGGAAAGGCCCUUCGGGGUACUCGAGCGGCGAACGGGUGAGUAACACGUGAGUAACCUGCCCCUAGCUCUGGGAUAGCCCCGGGAAACCGGGAUUAAUACCAGAUACGACCACUUUAGACAUCUGUCGUGGUGGAAAGGAUUCCGGCUAGGGAUGGGCUCGCGGCCUAUCAGCUUGUUGGUGGGUAACGCCUACCAAGGCGACGACGGGUAG